rnacentral:rRNA from 1 species
UCCUACGGGGCGCAGCAGUGAGGAAUAUUGGUCAAUGGCCGAGAGGCUGAACCAGCCAAGUCGCGUGAGGGAAGACGGCCCUACGGGUUGUAAACCUCUUUUGUCGGAGAACAAAACCCGGGACGUGUCCCGGACUGCGUGUAUCCGAAGAAAAAGCAUCGGCUAACUCCGUGCCAGCAGCCGCGGUAAUACGGAGGAUGCGAGCGUUAUCCGGAUUUAUUGGGUUUAAAGGGUGCGCAGGCGGAAUGUCAAGUCAGCGGUAAAAUUUCGGGGCUCAACCCCGUCGUGCCGUUGAAACUGGCGUU